rnacentral:rRNA from 1 species
GACGAACGCUGGCGGCGUGCUUAACACAUGCAAGUCGAGCGGUAAGGCCCUUUCGGGGGUACACGAGCGGCGAACGGGUGAGUAACACGUGGGUGACCUGCCUUUAGCUCUGGGAUAAGCCUGGGAAACUGGGCCUAAUACCGGAUAUGACUCCAUGAUGCAUGUUGUGGGGUGGAAAGCCUUGUGCGGCUGGAGAUGGGCCCGCGGCCUAUCAGCUUGUUGGUGGGGUGAUGGCCUACCAAGGCGACGACGGGUAGCCGGCCUGAGAGGGCGACCGGCCACACUGGGACUGAGACACGGCCCAGACUCCUACGGGAGGCAGCAGUGGGGAAUCUUGCGCAAUGGGCGAAAGCCUGACGCAGCGACGCCGCGUGAGGGAUGACGGCCUC